rnacentral:rRNA from 1 species
AGAGUUUGAUCCUGGCUCAGGAUGAACGCUAGCGGCAGGCUUAAUACAUGCAAGUCGUGGGGCAGCAGGGGUAGCAAUACCCGCUGGCGACCGGCAAACGGGUGCGGAACACGUACGCAACCUUCCUUUAACUGGAGAAUAGCCCCUCGAAAGAGGGAUUAAUACUCCGUAACAUAUUGAUAAGGCAUCUUAUUAAUAUUAUAGUCUUCGGGCGGUUAAAGAUGGGCGUGCGCCUGAUUAGAUAGUUGGUGAGGUAACGGCUCACCAAGUCUGCGAUCAGUAACUGGUGUGAGAGCACGACCAGUCACACGGGCACUGAGACACGGGCCCGACUCCUACGGGAGGCAGCAGUAAGGAAUAUUGGUCAAUGGACGCAAGUCUGAACCAGCCAUGCCGCGUGGAGGAUUAAGGCCCUCUGGGUUGUAAACUCCUUUUAUCUGGGAAGAAAUGCCAUUUUUCUAAAUGGUUUGACGGUACCAGAGGAAUAAGCACCGGCUAACUCCGUGCCAGCAGCCGCGGUAAUACGGAGGGUGCAAGCGUUAUCCGGAUUCACUGGGUUUAAAGGGUGCGUAGGCGGGCAGGUAAGUCCGUGGUGAAAUCUCUGAGCUUAACUCAGAAACUGCCAUGGAUACUAUUUGUCUUGAAUACUGUGGAGGUAAGCGGAAUAUGUCAUGUAGCGGUGAAAUGCUUAGAUAUGACAUGGAACACCAAUUGCGAAGGCAGCUUACUACACAGUUAUUGACGCUGAGGCACGAAAGCGUGGGGAUCAAACAGGAUUAGAUACCCUGGUAGUCC